AAGCAAUAGCCCAGAGUCGAGCUCAGUUGGACGGCACAGCUUGAUUAAAUGAGCCGAGAGCACCGUUAUUGGCUGGGAGACAAGAGUUCAGCCGAGCUCGAUGGAGGUUUACACCGGUCUGUGAGGAAAACAAUUGAGUGCAACAAGAAGUCUUUCAAAUAGAACAAUAUCUCCACCAAGUGUCCAGCAACACUUCUACUAUGACCGCCCGUCUGGUCUGCGUGUGGCGCACGGAGAAACAGAUGGCACGGGCGAGGAUGGCCGCCAGACGGAAGGAGGGAAAGUGAGAGUGGCAGAAAAUGGCAAGCUGCUUCCCCCUUGUUCCAUUUGACCUGAGGGACAAUCGGCUGAGAACAACACCCGUAGCCUGUUGAUGACACGGAGGUUAACAUCUCGGCAGAGGUACAGUGAAUCACAGCGAUGUCAUCCAUCUUAAGUUAGGACUCUGUUUUUCUUGUACAAACUGUUUUCUGUGGAUAGGUAAGUGACUCAUUCGCAUUUUGACUAAAUUGCUAUUACACCUAAUGAUUAUAAAAAAACAAUACUGGAUUGCACUCUUGGAUAAUUUUCAGCAAUCAUAUUAAAAGGCAUUUUAUUACAAUUAAAAAUAACAAAGUCACUUAUUGCAAAAGAGCUUAAAGACUCCCUUCAGGAUUUCAUAAAAUGCAUGAGCUUUUUCAAAAUACAGUAAAAAAAAUACUCCGUCAUGAUU